AUUUUGCAUUUCUUUUUCCAAGUAAGAAUGCACUUGCUCUCACUUGCUUCAAUACAUGUCUAGUGAUUCACGUGAAACAGAGAAAAAGAUAGACUGCCCUGUUAAUGAACAUGAGAUUGCCCAGUAUCACUCUGACAGAAGAGUAUGGUGUUUCCUUGAUAUGGUAUCUGGUCAGCAAUGUCAUUGGGACCAAAUGAAAGUUACUGCAGAUACCACACAGAAGCAAUUACUGUUACUGGAAUACCAGUAAUGUUUAUUAAAUUCAGUUGUAAAGCAGUUCUGGGCAUUGCAGCUGGUGAGCAAUGUCAUUGGGCACCAAAAGAAGUUCAGUUAUGAUGGAUUUCUGGCCUUCAGUCCAUGGGAAAAUUCACACCAGAUUGCAUCAAGACUGUUAUAUUCCAAGGAUAUCUUGGAAGAUUGAUAGUAUUCCUGAACGAAAAC